AAUAUUGCACAAUGGAGGAAACUCUGAUGCAGCGACGCCUCGUGAGUGAAGAAGGNAUNNGGAACNUNAAACUCUGUCCUUAGNNNNNUUAGUGACGGUCGGCAAGGAGGAAGCCCCGGCGAACUACGUGCCAGCAGCCGCGGUAAGACGUAGGGUGCUAGCGUUGUCCGGAUUUACUGGGCGUAAAGGGUGAGUAGGCGGUUGCAUAAGUCAGAUGUAAAAGGCUAAGGCUUAACCAUAGUAUGCAUUUGAAACUGUGUGACUUGAGUACAGGAGAGGUAAGCGGAAUUCCUAGUGUAGCGGUGAAAUGCGUAGAUAUUAGGAGGAACACCAGUGGCGAAGGCGGCUUACUGGACUGUAACUGACGCUGAGUCACGAAAGCGUGGGUAGCAAACAGG
rnacentral:rRNA from 1 species